UCAAACACUGGUUUCUAUACGAUCACCGAAGUUAAGCUGCAAUUAGCCUGGUCAGUAGCUAGAUGGGUGCCCGUUUGGAAAUACUAGGUGGUGUA